rnacentral:lncRNA from 1 species
CCCCCCCAGUGCCCGGCUGCUGUGGAUUCUCUGAUGGCUACUAAAGGGUUGUGCUCGCCCCGCUGUUCCCCAUGGGGCACACUGGGUUUUUCCUGAUUCCCCCCCCCCUACGUUCAACCUAACCAGUAAAUUCUGCAUUUUUCUCUCCAUCUCCCCAAAUUUAGCUAAGAAAAAGCCCAAAAAAAUAAAAAUAAAUAAAGGGGAGGAUGCUGAGGUCUGUAGGAAGGGGGUGCAGCGGGGCUGGUGGAGCCACACGCUGACCCCGCUUCUGCCCUCACCCCCAGCUCCACUUUUGGGUACCCCAAAGGCAGGGCUGAGGUUUUAUCCCCCCCCCCCCCCCCACCCCAGGCACCUCCUUCCCUCCCCUGCCUCAGUUUCCCCACGUGCAGGACCACGGCGGACACCCAGCUGCCUCCCUCUGCCCCCAUUUUCCCACCCAAGGGGGAAAUUUGAGCGUGGGUUUGGGGACAUCAAGGUGCCUCGGGGUCGGGAGCUGCAUUUCGGGGCUGGGGAGGGCUCCCCAAAACCCCUAUAACAUCGGGGCUGUGGGUUAUCGAGGUUUUGGGGCCACAGUGCCAAUAACCCCAAAGCUCCCCCGUAACGGUGCCAAACACCAGGAUUUUGGGCACUGUGGGCAGGUCCUAAAGCCGACAUCAGCACAGCAGCAAAAUGGCCGGGGAGACCCAUUUUGGGUGGAAAAUGGGCAAAAUGGGCGGCGGGGGGGUGUUGUCUGUGCUUUAGUCUCAUCAUUCCCUGCGGGAGAGAUGCUCGGAGGCGUCCGUGCUCUGGGGACCCGCCGCGACGCGGACCCCACCGGGGUGGGUUGGGGACCCCAAAUGUCCCCAAGAGUCCUUCAGGGCGCUUUGGGGACCACUCUCCAGCUCAACGGCCGCCACCUCGGCCGUGUCUACCUUGAAAGUCGAGGAGCAGCCGAGGGAAGGUUUCCAAGGCAACCGCAAAAAAAAAAAAAAAAAAGAAAAAAAAAAAUCUGCAUUUCUCCAUUUCGGGGUAAAGGCUGCAAUUUGUAUGCAGGCGGGCGCGCGGCGCCUUUGAAAUUCAAGCAGAAAAUCAAAAAGGCGAAGGCAGGAGCGUAG